UGUGCUCGGAUAGAAUGACCAUUGUGAAGGUGAUGUGGGCUACGUCACAGAGGACUGGGCACCAGUCGGAGGGUGCAGCUUGGAGCACUCCUGCUGAGCUUAGAGCAUCAGAGGACAUCAUGCCAGCUGGCCCCUGUGAGAUUUCAACACAAUGCUCCAUCCACAAGGUGAAUGUUGCUGGAAUGGGAGGUGGUUAACAGGGUGACCUCUUCCUCUGCUCACACGGAAGAAAAGACUCAGAAACAUCUGAUAAGUGGCAA